CUGUGGAUAGCCCAGUGGCUGUGGGAACCAGGCUCUGACUCUGACAUCCUGGGUUCAAGUCCCAGUGUGCACA
rfam:Macaca mulatta chromosome 11, whole genome shotgun sequence.